UUGCUUCGGCAGCACAUAUACUAAAAUUGGAACGAUACAGAGAAGAUUAGCACGGCCCCUGUGCGAGGAUGACACACAAGUUCAUGAAGCAUUCCAUAUUUUU
rnacentral:snRNA from 1 species